CCAAGUUGCUAAGCAAUAACUAGCGCAAUAUAUAAAUCCUGAUCACAAAUUCAUUCAUAAGAAUCAAUCAGAGUCAUGAAAAUGUUGAGAUGUUUGAAGUUUUUAAUAAUCUUCCUUAUUCUCUAUCUCUACUCCUUAAACUUCGCUCCUACAGAUGUUUUGCCUUUUGUAUGUUGUACCGGUCUUUUGUACCUUGUAGAUAAGAUGGCCGAUGCACUUAAUGACCACCUCGCCAAGGCUUCAUAGAUGGACGUUACGUUCGUAGCUUCGUUGCCCUCUUUGACAAUAACGAGUGAACCAACAUCGGGUUGGGCUAUAUAUAUUUGUUGUCCUUAUUUUAGAUCAUUUAGUAAUGUCGUGCCUUAAUUUGUACUCCCUCCAUUUCAGAAUAGUUGUUACACUCUCCUGAGCACACAGUUUAAUGCGAUAAGUAGUAGUGUGGUUAUCAAUUGUUAUUUUGUUGAAAAAGUAGAUGUGAUAGGAGUUAGUGGGGUAUUUUUUAAUUGAAUGAGAGAGGGCGUGGGGACAAAAAAAAUUUAGUGGGAAAAGAGACAAUAUAAAAAUUGUGGGGUAAUUCCUAAUUUAGAAGUGUAACAACUAAUCUGGGACGGACGAAAAAAGAAAGUGUAACAACUGUUGGAAAUAAUACGUUGUAAGUUUGUAACCAUGAAAUUAACAAUAAAAUAAUAGGGAAGAAACACAAUACUCAAUAA